UACGUAUGGGGCAAGCGUUAUCCGGAAUUAUUGGGCGUAAAGAGCGCGCAGGUGGUUGAUUAAGUCUGAUGUGAAAGCCCACGGCUUAACCGUGGAGGGUCAUUGGAAACUGGUCGACUUGAGUGCAGAAGAGGGAAGUGGAAUUCCAUGUGUAGCGGUGAAAUGCGUAGAGAUAUGGAGGAACACCAGUGGCGAAGGCGACUUUCUGGUCUAUUAUUGACGCUGAGGCUCGAAAGCAUGGGUAGCAACAGGAUUAGAUA
rnacentral:rRNA from 1 species